rnacentral:rRNA from 1 species
AACGAACGCUGGCGGCAUGCCUAACACAUGCAAGUCGAACGAGACCUUCGGGUCUAGUGGCGCACGGGUGCGUAACGCGUGGGAACCUGCCCUUAGGUUCGGAAUAACUCCCCGAAAGGGGUGCUAAUACCGGAUAAUGUCUUCGGACCAAAGAUUUAUCGCCUUUGGAUGGGCCCGCGUUGGAUUAGCUAGUUGGUAGGGUAAAAGCCUACCAAGGCGACGAUCCAUAGCUGGUCUGAGAGGAGGAUCAGCCACACUGGGACUGAGACACGGCCCAGACUCCGACGGGAGGCAGCAGUGGGGAAUAUUGGACAAGGGGCGAAAGCCUGAUCCAGCAAUGCCGCGUGAGUGAUGAAGGCCUUAGGGUUGUAAAGCUCUUUUACCCGGGAUGAUAAUGACAGUACCGGGAGAAGAAGCUCCGGCCAACUACGUG